rnacentral:rRNA from 1 species
UUGACCUCGGAUCAGGUAGGAUUACCCGCUGAACUUAAGCAUAUCAAUAAGCGGAGGAAAAGAAACCAACAGGGAUUGCCCCAGUAACGGCGAGUGAAGCGGCAACAGCUCAAAUUUGAAAUCUGGCCUUCGGGUCCGAGUUGUAAUUUGGAGAGGAUGCUUUUGGCGCGGCGCCGUCCGAGUUCCUUGGAACAGGACGCCAUAGAGGGUGAGAGCCCCGUACGGGCGGCCGCCUAGCCUUUGUAAAGCUCCUUCGACGAGUCGAGUAGUUUGGGAAUGCUGCUCAAAAUGGGAGGUAAAUUUCUUCUAAAGCUAAAUACCGGCCAGAGACCGAUAGCGCACAAGUAGAGUGAUCGAAAGAUGAAAAGCACUUUGAAAAGAGGGUUAAACAGUACGUGAAAUUGUUGAAAGGGAAGCGCCUGUGACCAGACUUGCGACCCGUGGAUCAUCCGGUGUUCUUCACCGGUGCACUCCGCGGGCUGCAGGCCAGCAUCGGUUUUUCUAGGGGGAUAAAGGUCGCAGGAACGUAGCUCUUUCGGGAGUGUUAUAGCCUGUGGCGUCAUGCCUCUGGGGAGACCGAGGACCGCGCUUCGGCAAGGAUGCUGGCGUAAUGGUCACCGGCG